rnacentral:rRNA from 1 species
UAGUCCACGCUGUAAACGAUGUCUACUAGCUGUUGGUCUCCUUGAGGGGGCAGUGGCGCAGCUAACGCGAUAAGUAGACCGCCUGGGGAGUACGGCCGCAAGGUUAAAACUCAAAUGAAUUGACGGGGGGCCCGCACAAGCGGUGGAGCAUGUGGUUUAAUUCGAUGCAACGCGAAGAACCUUACCAGGUCUUGACAUCCCGAGAAGUCGCUAGAGAUAGCUUCGUGCCUUCGGGAACUCGGUGACAGGUGCUGCAUGACUGUCGUCAGCUCGUGUCGUGAGAUGUUGGGUUAAGUCCCGUAACGAGCGCAACCCUUGUCCUUAGUUGCUAGCAGGUAAUGCUGAGAACUCUAAGGAGACUGCCGGUGACAAACCGGAGGAAGGUGGGGACGACGUCAAGUCAUCAUGGCCCUUACGACCUGGGGCUACACACGUGCUACAAUGGGCAGUACAAAGGGCAGCUAAGCCGCGAGGUGGCGC